UUUAUGGAGAGUUUGAUCCUGGCUCAGGAUGAACGCUGGCGGCGUGCCUAAUACAUGCAAGUCGAGCGAACAGACGAGGAGCUUGCUCCUCUGACGUUAGCGGCGGACGGGUGAGUAACACGUGGAUAACCUACCUAUAAGACUGGGAUAACUUCGGGAAACCGGAGCUAAUACCGGAUAACAUGUUGAACCGCAUGGUUCAACAGUGAAAGACGGUCUUGCUGUCACUUAUAGAUGGAUCCGCGCCGCAUUAGCUAGUUGGUAAGGUAACGGCUUACCAAGGCAACGAUGCGUAGCCGACCUGAGAGGGUGAUCGGCCACACUGGAACUGAGACACGGUCCAGACUCCUACGGGAGGCAGCAGUAGGGAAUCUUCCGCAAUGGGCGAAAGCCUGACGGAGCAACGCCGCGUGAGUGAAGAAGGUCUUCGGAUCGUAAAACUCUGUUAUUAGGGAAGAACAAAUGUGUAAGUAACUAUGCACGUCUUGACGGUACCUAAUCAG
rnacentral:rRNA from 1 species